rnacentral:sRNA from 1 species
CCUGGCACUUCCGUACCAGGCUGCGCUAUACCGUCCCGUCGGGACU